UUAGAGUUUGAUCCUGGCUCAGGAUGAACGCUAGCGGCAGGCUUAACACAUGCAAGUCGAGGGGUAGAGUUAGCUUGCUAACUUGAGACCGGCGCACGGGUGCGUAACGCGUAUGCAAUCUACCUUUUACAGAGGGAUAGCCCAGAGAAAUUUGGAUUAAUACCUCAUAGUAUAAUGAAGUGGCAUCACUUUAUUAUUAAAGUCACAACGGUAAAAGAUGAGCAUGCGUCCCAUUAGCUAGUUGGUAAGGUAACGGCUUACCAAGGCAACGAUGGGUAGGGGUCCUGAGAGGGAGAUCCCCCACACUGGUACUGAGACACGGACCAGACUCCUACGGGAGGCAGCAGUGAGGAAUAUUGGUCGAUGGGCGCAAGCCUGAACCAGCCAUGCCGCGUGCAGGAUGACGGUCCUAUGGAUUGUAAACUGCUUUUGUACAGGAAGAAACACUCCCUCGUGAGGGAGCUUGACGGUACUGUAAGAAUAAGGAUCGGCUAACUCCGUGCCAGCAGCCGCGGUAAUACGGAGGAUCCAAGCGUUAUCCGGAAUCAUUGGGUUUAAAGGGUCCGUAGGCGGGUUAAUAAGUCAGUGGUGAAAGCCCAUCGCUCAACGAUGGAACGGCCAUUGAUACUGUUAGUCUUGAAUUAUUAGGAAGUAACUAGAAUAUGUAGUGUAGCGGUGAAAUGCUUAGAGAUUACAUGGAAUACCAAUUGCGAAGGCAGGUUACUACUAAUGGAUUGACGCUGAUGGACGAAAGCGUGGGUAGCGAACAGGAUUAGAUACCCUGGUAGUCCACGCCGUAAACGAUGGAUACUAGCUGUUCGGAGCAAUCUGAGUGGCUAAGCGAAAGUGAUAAGUAUCCCACCUGGGGAGUACGUUCGCAAGAAUGAAACUCAAAGGAAUUGACGGGGGCCCGCACAAGCGGUGGAGCAUGUGGUUUAAUUCGAUGAUACGCGAGGAACCUUACCAAGGCUUAAAUGUAGAUUGACCGGUUUGGAAACAGAUCUUUCGCAAGACAAUUUACAAGGUGCUGCAUGGUUGUCGUCAGCUCGUGCCGUGAGGUGUCAGGUUAAGUCCUAUAACGAGCGCAACCCCUGUUGUUAGUUGCCGGCGAGUCAUGUCGGGAACUCUAGCAAGACUGCCAGUGCAAACUGUGAGGAAGGUGGGGAUGACGUCAAAUCAUCACGGCCCUUACGCCUUGGGCUACACACGUGCUACAAUGGACGGUACAGAGAGCAGCCACUGGGCAACCAGGAGCGAAUCUAUAAAACCGUUCUCAGUUCGGAUCGGAGUCUGCAACUCGACUCCGUGAAGCUGGAAUCGCUAGUAAUCGGAUAUCAGCCAUGAUCCGGUGAAUACGUUCCCGGGCCUUGUACACACCGCCCGUCAAGCCAUGGAAGCUGGGGGUACCUGAAGUCGGUGACCGCAAGGAGCUGCCUAGGGUAAAACUGGUAACUAGGGCUAAGUCGUAACAAGGUAACC
rnacentral:rRNA from 1 species